rnacentral:rRNA from 1 species
GUCUAAGGCCUUACCACCCUGAACAUGCCCAAUCUCAUCUGCUUUGAGAAGCUAAGCAGGGUCUGGCCUGGUUAAUACUUGAAUGGGAGUCAAAUAUAUGGAUCAUUCUUGAUUUAGAGA